UGUGAUUUGAAAGUCACUCUGUGCUGCUCCC
rnacentral:piRNA from 1 species